rnacentral:pre_miRNA from 1 species
AAGAUACUCCCUCUGUUCGAAAUUACUUGUCGCGAGAAUGGAUGUAUCUAGACGUAUUUAGUUCUAGAUACAUCCAUUUCCGAGACAAGUAAUUCCGAACGGAGGGAGUACUAA